rnacentral:rRNA from 1 species
GGUGAACGCUGGCGGCGUGCUUAAGACAUGCAAGACGAACGCAGUCUUCGGACUGAGUGGCGCACGGGUGAGUAACACGUAACUGACCUACCCCCAAGUCGCGAAUAACCAGCCGAAAGGAUGGCGAAUACGUGAUGUGAUGAUCCGCUGUGGCGGAUCAUUAAAGACUUGAUCGCUUGGGGAUGGGGUUGCGUUCCAUCAGCUAGUUGGUAAGGUAAAGGCUUACCAAGGCAACGACGGAUAGCCGGCCUGAGAGGGUGGCCGGCCACAGGGGCACUGAGACACGGGUCCCACUCCUACGGGAGGCAGCAGUUAGGAAUCUUCCACAAUGGGCGCAAGCCUGAUGGAGCGACGCCGCGUGAGGGAUGAAGGUUCUCGGAUCGUAAACCUCUGAACCAACGACGAAAGACCCGACAAGGGAGAUGACGGUAGUUGGGUAAUAGCACCGGCUAACUCCGUGCCAGCCGCCGCAGUAAAAC